rnacentral:misc_RNA from 1 species
GACGCUCACCGCCGCCGCUGUUUCUGUGGAGUCGCGCGCCGCUCUGGCCGCCGCCGCUGCCCCGCUGCCUCCGACCGGCAAGCCCCAUGCGAUCAUCCCGCCCCGCCCCGCACGCCCUACUCCGGCACGGCCGCUCCGCCCCGCCCCGCCAUUGGCUUCUGCAUGACGCCGCCGCUCCGACCCUCUCUGCCCAGCCUCUGAUCGUCAACGCGCCACCCCGCUCAGAGCCUGGCCGGCUCGCCUCGCCACACUGCCAGACAUCGCCCUACCCACGGCCGUCAUCCUCCAUCAACGCGAUCCGGCGCCACUGCAAGGAUGAGUAGUAGGAAAACCAGGCACACAACGAGGAGGUUCCGUAAUGCGGCUAGCAGGAUACUCCAUAGUGCACAUGGUCAAUCCUUUUCCAAGGGAG